UUCUAUUCCAAAUUGAUCAUCAUAUCAUCAUACUAUUGGCACUAUCAUUAGAUAUAAAGUUCUCAAAACUGCAGCAUGAUCCAAAUUAGCACUUUUCUUUUGAUAAAUACUAAUUCUAACCGUAAGUAAAAUCAAUAAUAACAACAAAAACAUAUGCAGAUUAAAAAUAAGAAAAAGAUACAAUAUUAUAUGUGUAAUUGUAUAGCUGAGUAAACUAAAAUCAAACAUUUCCUAGUCAUUUAUUUCAAUCACUUGCAUAUGGAAGAGUUUAAGAUACUACACUACAAGGACUCAGUUUCCUUUUCGAUUUUCAUUCCUUUCCCGCAGUUUCUCCGCUUCCAAACAGAGCAUAACAGUAAAUUGUGGUAACGUUAGAGAAAAAGAUCCAUUGCAAGUACCUGGAAAGUCGGAGAUUUACACCGGAUAAUUUAUAGCAACCGGAGCUCCGGCGACCGGC
rnacentral:misc_RNA from 1 species